UCCAUCGCGAGGUGGAAUCUGAAGGAAGCGUGAUGAGCAAAGUUCCGGCCCGAGGAACACGAACCGUAUUAGGCAUCCGUAAUGGGAUGAGUCUGCUACUCAAGACAAAAUCCAAUAAACUGCACGGACACGAGGAUGUAGAUAUGGCGGGUAUAUGGGAUGAAAGUUACGCGU
rfam:Desulfotomaculum sp. 46_80 MPI_scaffold_249, whole genome shotgun sequence.